rnacentral:rRNA from 1 species
GUGGGGAAUCUUGCGCAAUGGGCGAAAGCCUGACGCAGCCAUGCCGCGUGAAUGAUGAAGGUCUUAGGAUUGUAAAAUUCUUUCACCGGGGACGAUAAUGACGGUACCCGGAGAAGAAGCUCCGGCUAACUUCGUGCCAGCAGCCGCGGUAAUACGAAGGGGGCUAGCGUUGCUCGGAAUUACUGGGCGUAAAGGGCGCGUAGGCGGACAGCUUAGUCAGAGGUGAAAGCCCAGGGCUCAACCUUGGAAUUGCCUUUGAUACUGGCUGUCUUGAGUUUGGGAGAGGUGAGUGGAACUCCGAGUGUAGAGGUGAAAUUCGUAGAUAUUCGGAAGAACACCAGUGGCGAAGGCGACUCACUGGCCCAAUACUGACGCUGAGGCACGAAAGCGUGGGGAUCGAACAGGAUUAGAAACCCGUGUAGUCC